UUUAGGCUGCAAUUAUUUUGCAACAUCAUCAAUGGCGGUCGAUGUUAACUACAACAGCACAUCAAAGAUUGUUGGAAGAAGAAAAAUUACAUAGGAGUGUGACAUAGAUCAUUGGGAAAAUGGGCUACGGAAAUUGGAAAUCUAAGAAGGGAAGCUAGAGUGUGGCUUGGAACUUUUACUACGACUGAGGACGGAGGUAGAGCUUAUGAAAAAGCAUCUAUUGAAUUUUAUUGAAAAACAGAAUGAUAAUGAUAAGGCGGACUUUUCAAAAUCAAAGAAGAAGUUCCAGCGUAAUCUUGAGCGUACACGUGUCCUCGUUGAUAUACACCUAGAACCUCCUACGAAAGCUUCUAGAUUGUAUUUUGUAUUUUCUUCUUAUCUGUUGCAGUGUAUUGGAAAUAUUAUUUUAUACAUCAAAUUAGUUUGUCAAGGA
rnacentral:misc_RNA from 1 species